GACGAACGCUGGCGGCGUGCCUAAUACAUGCAAGUUGAGCGCUGAAGGUUGGUACUUGUACCAACUGGAUGAGCAGCGAACGGGUGAGUAACGCGUGGGGAAUCUGCCUUUGAGCGGGGGACAACAUUUGGAAACGAAUGCUAAUACCGCAUAAAAACUUUAAACACAAGUUUUAAGUUUGAAAGAUGCAAUUGCAUCACUCAAAGAUGAUCCCGCGUUGUAUUAGCUAGUUGGUGAGGUAAAGGCUCACCAAGGCGAUGAUACAUAGCCGACCUGAGAGGGUGAUCGGCCACAUUGGGACUGAGACACGGCCCAAACUCCUACGGGAGGCAGCAGUAGGGAAUCUUCGGCAAUGGACGAAAGUCUGACCGAGCAACGCCGCGUGAGUGAAGAAGGGUUUCGGAUCGUAAAACUCUGUUGGUAGAGAAGAACGCUGGUGAGAGUGGAAAGCUCAUCAAGUGACGGUAACUACCCAGAAAGGGACGGCUAACUACGUG
rnacentral:rRNA from 1 species